rnacentral:rRNA from 1 species
GCUUGUCUCAAAGAUUAAGCCAUGCACGUCUAAGUAUAAGCGAUUAUACUGUGAAACUGCGAAUGGCUCAUUAUAUCAGUUAUAGUUUAUUUGAUGGUCCUUGCUACUUGGAUAACCGUAGUAAUUCUAGAGCUAAUACAUGCAUAAAUCCCCGACUGCUUGGAAGGGGUGUAUUUAUUAGACUUAAGCCAAUAUUCCUUGUGUCUAUUGCGAUGAUUCAUAAUAACUGAUCGAAUCUCAAAUUUGAGAUAAAUCAUUCAAGUUUCUGCCCUAUCAGCUUUCGAUGGUAGUGUAUUGGACUACCAUGGCAGUAACGGGUAACGAAGAAUUAGGGUUCGAUUUCGGAGAGGGAGCAUGAGAAACGGCUACCACAUCUAAGGAAGGCAGCAGG